rnacentral:tRNA from 1 species
GAGGGUGUAGCUCAGUGGUAGAGCACGUGCUUAGCAUGCACGAGGUCCUGGGUUCAAUCCCCAGUACCUCCA